UACAGAGGCCCCAAGCGUUAGGCGGAAUCACUGGGCAUAAAGGGUGCGUAGGUGGUUGUGCAAGUCUGAUGUGAAAUCUCCGGGCUCAACCCGGAAAUGGCAUUGGAAACUGCAUGGCUAGAGGGUUGGAGGGGGGACUGGAAUACUUGGUGUAGCAGUGAAAUGCGUAGAUAUCAAGUGGAACACCAGUGGCGAAGGCGAGUCCCUGGACAACACCUGACACUGAGGCACGAAAGCUAGGGGAGCAAACAGG
rnacentral:rRNA from 1 species